rnacentral:lncRNA from 1 species
GCUGAAUGCAUCACACUGGGUGGCUGUGAUGAGGGAGGUGGGAUUAGGGCAUGGAAAAACCGUGAAAUCAAGUGAGAGAUACCUCCCCACAACCAGGUGCCGCAGCCCAAUAGGAAGAGACGUGCUUGGUCAACUUAGUUUCUGCCCUCAAGCACCAGAGAGAAAAGGCAGAGAAACCAGGACAGGCAAGCCCCAAAACUGGGGCUUAGCCCAGGAGGGUUCUUGGCGUUGCCCAGGAAAGAAUUCAAGAUCAUCACAGUCGAUGCAGGAAAUCCAUGUGACAAAAUUCAAUACUUAUUCACGCUGAAUCUAAGAUUUAUGUGGACAUACAAAGAACCUAGAAUGGCCACAGAAAAAUCUUGAAAAAGAACAAAAUGUCAAGACUUAGAAUAUUUAAUUUUAACUUUUAUCAUACAGCUACACAAGCAAUGACAAUGUGGUAUUUGUGUAAAGAUGGACAAGUAGACGAAUGGAACAAACAGAGGUCCAUCAAUAAACUCAUGCAGGACACCCAGCUGAUCUUCAGCCAGAGAGCAAAGGCAUCUUAGCAGGGGAAAGGAAAGACCGAGCUGAACUUCAGCUAGAGAGCAGGGGAAAGGAAAGACUCAGACACACUGUGUUAGAUAUCCACUUGGGAAAAGCAAAAAUCCUGACGUCCACCUCACACCAUGCACAAAAAUGCUCUGAGAUGGAUCCUAGACCUUAACGGAAAGGCUGAAACUAAAGAGUAUCUGGCAGAAAAUGUGGGAGAAUACCUUCACAACCUCAGGAAGGCAAAGUUUUC